CACGUAGGGCGCAAGCGUUGUCCGGAAUUAUUGGGCGUAAAGAGCUCGUAGGCGGUCUGUUACGUCUGCUGUGAAAACCCAGGGCUUAACCCUGGGCUUGCAGUGGAUACGGGCAGACUAGAGGCAGGUAGGGGAGAAUGGAAUUCCCGGUGUAGCGGUGAAAUGCGCAGAUAUCAGGAGGAACACCGGUGGCGAAGGCGGGUCUCUGGGCCGAAAUUGACGCUGAGGAGCGAAAGCGUGGGGAGCAAACAGG
rnacentral:rRNA from 1 species